GCACUCCUCCCCUCCACACACUGGAAUCAGCACCCGGACUUCUUAUACAGUCCUGUGCACACAGACAGAGGGAAGCCAUGCUCCAGUGAAGUUCCCUCCAUUCGUCCAUCAAUUGAUUUAUUGCAUCCUCAUCGACUGAUCCUAAAGA